GAUGCUGAUGCUUGCCGGUGGUGGCGAGCUCUCUUGUUUAGUUUCUGCUGCUGGAGGGGUCGUAAGAUCAUCGAUGUCUAUCGCCUUCGUGGCUACUCCAGGUUCUUCUCCUUCGCUGAUUACUGCUGGUUUUUCGGUUUUGCUAGCGGCUUUUGGAUCCUCUUGUAGCAGCGGACUCUCUUCCUCGCUGGUGGGAGUCGUUUCCUCGACUUGCUCUUUGUCUUCCUUCUGAGCGUCUGCUAGCUCGUCUUCGACAGUGAUGGGAGCUGCGUCAUCUGGAGCAGUGAUAGCUUUGUCUUUGGCUGGUGUGAAAUCUUCUGGUACUCUUUCAGCUUCUUUCUCUUUCUCUUCCUCUUGAGUUCCUUCGUCUUUGGCAGUGAUGGGAGCUGCUUCGUCUGGAACAAUGAGAUCUUUGUCUUCGCCUGGUGUGGAAACUUCUGGUACUGCUUUCUCUUUGUCUUCCUCCUGAGUUUCUGCGAGCUGAGUUCCAUCGUCUUCGGCAGUAAUGAGAGCUGCUUCGUCUAGAGCAAUGUCGCCUUUGUCUUCGGCUGGUGUUGUUGCUUCUUCCUUGUCGUUCUCGUGGACGAUGCUUGUUGUUUCGAGCUCCUUAGCCUUCUGAUCCUCGCGAUUCUCUGCUGGAUGAGUUCCUUCACCAGCAGCUACCGCCGCUUCUUUCUCUUCGUCCGCAGAUACUAUUGUUUCUUCAACUGUUGCUUCUUCAUCUUUGCCCGCUUCUUGGUCCGGAAAGGUGACAUCUGCGUCGUGAAAUUCUUCCUUGUCCGGACUUAUACCUUCUGCUACUUGAGUUUCGUCGUGCACCUCCUCCUUGUCCGGAAUUGUAUCUCCUGCUACUUGAGUUUCGUUGUGCACCUCUUCCAUGUCCGGAAUAAGAGUUUCCUUGUGCACCUCGUCCUUGUCCAGAAUUAUAUCUUCGGCUACUUGAGUUUCGUCGUGCACCUCUUCCUUGUCCGGAAUUAUAUCUUCGGCUACUUGAGCUUCAUCGUGGAUCUCUUCUCUGUCUGGAAUUAUGUCUUCUGCUGUCUGAGUGCUCGUGGAAAGAGCAUCCGUUUGGAGAACUGUUGUUUCUUUCUCUUUCUCUCCGCUUGGAUCUUGAUCUUCUGCUACUUGAAAUCUUUCCUCGCGUUUGUCAGUUGCUUCCAUCUCCGAGUUUUCUGCGAUCUUAGCCUGAGUUUCUUCACUGCUCACUGUUUCUUGCACCUUUUCUUCGUCGUCGCCAGCAGCUGGAACAUUCCUGUCCACGGCUUCGUCUUUCAAAGGUUCGUGUUCAAUCAGAUUUGUUGACUCCUCGGUGUCUCUAAUAUCUUGCUCGCCUUCUUCAGUCCGACCUUCCACUGGAUUUUGGAUUGCUUCGUCACCACCUUCGACUGCCUUGUCCUCCCUGGCUUCGAUAGCUCCCUCGACAUCUUGGACUGUCGACGGCAAGUCUUCUCCCCCUUUAUCAUCAGCUUCACUUUGCAGCGUAAUCUCCUCGUGUGGUUUCUCUCCGACUUCUUCAGCAGCUGUGUUCUCAAUUCCAUCUUGAAGCUCAAGUCCUCUGUCAGCCUCAUCUGUCUUUAAUAGCCCUUGACUUUCCAAAACCAGUUCGCCAGCAGACGCUUGAUCGUUUCUAGUCGUCUCUUUGCCAUCUGCGUCUAUUGCUGCUUGAUCCUCAGCUCCAUCCAACUGUUCUCCUGCUUGCUUAGUGACCACACUUUCAUCUGUUGCUGGUUCAACUUCCACAGCACUGCCUUCGUCUGUAUCCUUACUUUCCUGGAUGCUAUGGUCUUCGGUAACUCCAGAGUCCUCCAGCUUCUCAAUUUGUGCAUCUCUGCCUUCGUCAGCCUCAACUUUGGAUUUGGCGUCAUCGUCCAAAGUUGUCCCGCUUUCUUCUGUUGUCAUCGUUGGUAGUUCGUCUUCGGUUCUCUUGUCAGCAACGGUAUCUUUUGUUUCUUCCGAUGAUCCGGCAGCUAGUUCGUCGCCCUCGAUUUUGUCUAGAGGUACUGCAUCUUCAACGUUGGAACUUUCGACUUCCUGAUCAGCCUUGUCUUCGGUUGGUGUCCCGUCAACUUGGUCUUGUCCGUGCAAUGUGGUCUCAUUCUCUGCUUCGUGGACUUGCUCAGCCUCGCGUGGUGUUUCUUCAGCCGCUUCUUUCUUGUCUUGAGCAUCAGACUCUGGUGCAGCAGAUACUUGAUCAGUUCCAUGAUCCUCGCCUGCGUCUACUUCGUGAUCUCCACUGCUCGUCUUUUCUUCGACACUUUUGCUUCCAGAUUCCUCUGCGGCGUCUAUCUCCACCAUCGGUUCUGUUGCUAGUUGUUCCUCACUAACAGUUGCGCUUCCGUCUGGAACAGCUUCCUCGAGUAUCCCAGAUUUGUCAGCCAGCUCUUCUUUGGCUUGCACUUUACUUUCUGGAUCUU
rnacentral:lncRNA from 1 species